rnacentral:rRNA from 1 species
AGUGAACGCUGGCGGUAGGCCUAACACAUGCAAGUCGAACGGCAGCACAGUAAGAGCUUGCUCUUACGGGUGGCGAGUGGCGGACGGGUGAGGAAUACAUCGGAAUCUACUUUUUCGUGGGGGAUAACGUAGGGAAACUUACGCUAAUACCGCAUACGACCUACGGGUGAAAGCAGGGGAUCUUCGGACCUUGCGCGAUUGAAUGAGCCGAUGUCGGAUUAGCUGGUUGGCGGGGUAAAGGCCCACCAAGGCGACGAUCCGUAGCUGGUCUGAGAGGAUGAUCAGCCACACUGGAACUGAGACACGGUCCAGACUCCUACGGGAGGCAGCAGUGGGGAAUAUUGGACAAUGGGCGCAAGCCUGAUCCAGCCAUACCGCGUGGGUGAAGAAGGCCUUCGGGUUGCAAAGCCCUUUUGCUGGGAAAGAAAAGCAGCAGGUUAAUACCCCGCUGUUCUGACGGUACCCAAAGAAUAAGCACCGGCUAACUUCGUG